rnacentral:misc_RNA from 1 species
AAUAUUUCCCUCUACAUAAAAUGGAUUUGUCUAAAUGAUAAAAGGCUUGGCAACAUAACAGAGAUCCUAUCCCUCGCAAGUCAUAGACAUAUCAAAUACACAUUACACAGGGUCAGGGAAGCCGCCAGCCGGGAGCCUAUACAGCAACAGUGCGGCAGUGUACCUCAAUCAGCUCGGGUCAGCAGAGCGGAGCGGCAUUAGCAAGCGAUGGAAGGGCGUGGAUACUUGAGUGAAAAGCUGCUUGUGCAGCUCUUUCUAAUCCUUGGAGCAUUUUUUAAUGUAGCUUUGUGUACAUUGCAAGAUGAAAUUAGUAGUGACUCCCUUGAAGUCAGAUUUGAUGAAAUCUAUGACAUUGAUAAUUGGGACCAGGACAUGACUGUUGGAUUCACAUCAUCAGUAACUGCAAGUGUGAACAACUAUUGUAUGGAUUCAAGUAACUUUGCCUCCUGUCAGAUAUCUGCAUACAAUGACCCCUUUACCGUUGUACUCUCUGCAAAUUCUCCUGAGUAUUUCAAUGGGGACAUCAAAAUGACCUUUUACGUAAGGAUUCCUGAGGCCGACAGGGCUUCUGACGCCGCCAUGGAGUAUGUCGUUCCUAAAGCCACAGUUGCAACCAUUGUGGAGGAGAAUGCAGCAGACAUCAACAAUGCCACUGGCCAGGCACUUGUGUUCAUCGGUGACAAGCGCAUCAUUGCGCUGGACACCGGCCUUGACAAAAUCAUGAUCCCGAUCGUCUGCGUGCUCUUUGUCCUUGUUGUGCUCCUGGCCGUCUGCCUGACCUGCAUGCAGUCGCGUGGGGAGAAGAAGAUCCAAGAGCAGAGACAAAAGCAGUUUGGAUCCAAGGGAGAUGAAGGGAUCACUCUCACAGCCGUCAAGAGCGGUGGAUAUAACAGCGAAGAUAACAAUGAAGAUGUACAAGUCAGUGAUAAUGUUGCUAAACUGGAAGAAGAAAAAGAGGUGAAGGCAUAAAAUAGGCAAUACUUCGACACCGUUCUCACAUACAAAGGUGAAGAUGUUACAGGUGUCAAUGUUGCGUUGACAUCUUAAAAUAGGAUUUUAUGACCAGCCGACACCGCCACAACUGCAACAACCACCAAGAGAUUCCGACGACAAAAGAAGC